rnacentral:rRNA from 1 species
GACGAACGCUGGCGGCGUGCUUAACACAUGCAAGUCGAACGAUGAACCCGGAGCUUGCUCUGGGGGAUUAGUGGCGAACGGGUGAGUAACACGUGAGUAACCUGCCCUGGACUCUGGGAUAAGCGUUGGAAACGACGUCUAAUACCGGAUAGGACCUUGGAACGCAUGAACUGGGGUGGAAAGUGUGUUCGGUCUGGGAUGGACUCGCGGCCUAUCAGCUUGUUGGUGAGGUAAUGGCUCACCAAGGCGUCGACGGGUAGCCGGCCCGCGAGGGUAACCGGACACGGUCCGACUUCGUCACGGACCCAGCUCUGGCGGAAGUCAGCCGUUGGGCGCAAUCCUCAUCGAGCGAAGGCCCGUGGCGGAAGCGGCGCUUCCGGUAUUACGGUGUUCUGGUUGGGAACCGCUCUUAUUAGGUAAGAAGCGCUUCGGCUUGACGGUACCGUAAGAAAAAGCACCGGCUAACUACGUG